rnacentral:rRNA from 1 species
AGAGUUUGAUCAUGGCUCAGAUUGAACGCUGGCGGCAGGCCUAACACAUGCAAGUCGAGCGGAUGAGUGGAGCUUGCUCCAUGAUUCAGCGGCGGACGGGUGAGUAAUGCCUAGGAAUCUGCCUGGUAGUGGGGGACAACGUUUCGAAAGGAACGCUAAUACCGCAUACGUCCUACGGGAGAAAGUCGGGGGGAUCUUCGGACCUCACGCUAUCAGAUGAGCCUAGGUCGGAUUAGCUAGUUGGCGAGGUAAAGGCUCACCAAGGCGACGAUCCGUAACUGGUCUGAGAGGAUGAUCAGUCACACUGGAACUGAGACACGGUCCAGACUCCUACGGGAGGCAGCAGUGGGGAAUAUUGGACAAUGGGCGAAAGCCUGAUCCAGCCAUGCCGCGUGUGUGAAGAAGGUCUUCGGAUUGUAAAGCACUUUAAGUUGGGAGGAAGGGCAGUAAGUUAAUACCUUGCUGUUUUGACGUUACCGACAGAAUAAGCACCGGCUAACUUCGUGCCAGCAGCCGCGGUAAUACGAAGGGUGCAAGCGUUAAUCGGAAUUACUGGGCGUAAAGCGCGCGUAGGUGGUUCGUUAAGUUGGAUGUGAAAGCCCCGGGCUCAACCUGGGAACUGCAUCCAAAACUGGCGAGCUAGAGUAUGGCAGAGGGUGGUGGAAUUUCCUGUGUAGCGGUGAAAUGCGUAGAUAUAGGAAGGAACACCAGUGGCGAAGGCGACCACCUGGGCUAAUACUGACACU